rnacentral:ncRNA from 6 species
GGUGGAGCGAUUUGUCUGGUUAAU